rnacentral:rRNA from 1 species
UACGGGGGGAGCAAGCGUUGUUCGGAUUUACUGGGCGUAAAGGGCGCGUAGGCGGCGUGACAAGUCACUUGUGAAAUCUCCGGGCUUAACCCGGAGCGGCCAAGUGAUACUGUCGUGCUAGAGUGCGGAAGGGGCUACUGGAAUUCUCGGUGUAGCGGUGAAAUGCGUAGAUAUCGAGAGGAACACCUGCGGCGAAGGCGGGUAGCUGGGCCGACACUGACGCUGAGGCGCGAAAGCCAGGGGAGCGAACAGG